ACUACGAGCAUUAGCUUGAAACCCAAAGGACUUGGCGGUGCUUUAGAUCCACCUAGAGGAGCCUGUUCUAGAACCGAUAACCCCCGUUCAACCUCACCUUUCCUUGUUUAUUCCGCCUAUAUACCACCGUCGUCAGCUUACCCUGUGAAGGUCUAAUAGUAAGCAAAAUUGGCAUAACCCAAAACGUCAGGUCGAGGUGUAGCGUAUGGAAAGGGAAGAAAUGGGCUACAUUCCCUUGCACAGGGAAUACGAACGAUAAACUGAAAUGUUUUUCCAAAGGAGGAUUUAGCAGU
rnacentral:rRNA from 1 species